rnacentral:lncRNA from 1 species
CGUUUUUGAUGAAAGUGAAGAAUGGGGUUGAAGAUGAAGGUCUUAGACUCAAGGACAAGGAAGAAACAUGAAGAAAAGAAGAGUCUAGGAACCGCCCAGUGCCAAAAUCUAACGCUGGGCGGCCAAAUGCGAGGAGAAGCCACUGUCUAGCGCCCAAGCGGUGAAGCCAGGGAAUUCUGCGACUAGAGGCAAACCGUCGGGCGGUGAAACUAGGCGGUGGGCGGUUUUCAG